rnacentral:lncRNA from 1 species
CACUAAUUAGUAUUAUGUAAAAAAUCCAAAUCAUAAGUAGUGCAACUCACUCCGAAUUUCACACUUCAUAAUUAAGAAACUGACGUUACUAAAUUAUAUGGUAUUUGAUAAUGUCGAUCAUUUUUAUCUUAGGUAAGAAAUUGGGUUAGGAAAGCUGAAAGACAUAGUUGUUUAUGGCUCUGUAUGAACAUUAUUUUUCCGAUAUGUCACCAAAAUUAUAAAACAAAUAAAGUAGUUAAUGAUACCCUCUUUACAAAUGGUUUGUUAGAAUGCAUAUGUUAUAAUGUAGAGACUCCUGAUAUUAUUUUGAAUAAUGUUCUUACAUUAUGGAGUUUAGGUACAAUGUUUCCUUAUUGUAUUCUAUCUUUGUCUCAUUAAUGGUUAUGGCGUAAGGGUUCUUGUUCUAGUCUUGUAUUAAAAGAAAAAAAAUUGAGUUGGGACUUGAGGAACUAUUUUGGUUUUGGUUUUGGUUUUGGUUGAUUGACAUGAAAAAUUUACGAGUUGAUAGGAGAUUAAUUGACUAGCAUGAAGAAUGGUGUCCCAGUUGCUCCCCACGCCUAAGUAAAAAGGUUCACACAACUUUAAUUAGUGACAACAAAACUUGGUCCCUCCGAUUCUCCAUUGAUAACCACUAGCUAUAUAUGUAGCUCAUUGGCUCUAGUUCUAGUUAGUGCAUUUCAAACGCAUUCACUCUCAUAUAUAUGCUCUAUCUUCCCAUGUUUCCCCUCAUCCUAUCCUAUGUUUGUGUAUGUAUGGCAAAACAGUCCUGUUCACCUGAUCAUCAGCUACUGACCAAGAUCGAUUUGGUCAAUCACCGUUGGAUCACGCCACUAUAAAUCUGAUGACCGAGAGAUUAAGACGUUAAAAUAAACUAAAACACAUUAUUUUAUAUUCUUAAUCAUUUUUAAUUGAUAUUAUAAGCUUUCUCUUUCUUCUAGUCUCUUCCCACAAAGUCCUCGUGUUCUCCUUCCCCCAAUCUCCCAAAUUUCAUCAAAUAUGAAACCCACAUUCGCUGGGGACAAGACCCAACGCCGGAAGUCGCCGAAGUCUUCUCCUAAUCUCUCCGUCUUCGUUUUUCCCUCUUCUUCUUCUUCUUCUUCCAUAAUAGAAAUAGUGCAUGUUCUUCGAGGAAGAACACAACUCAGACACGGCAUACUGAAAAAUCCGCACCCAAAAUCCAAAAAUAAAAAUGAAAUAAGAUUAAUUGUAGUUUACCCCCUUGAGGUUUGGAUAGUUAAUAUUGUUUCACUUUCUAUAUUUUUAAUUUUAAAAAUUUACCUCCUAAAGUCUCUAAUUUUCAUAAAUCAGACACAACCGUCUAAUUUGGAGAUUAAAUUAUAACAUGAAAUCUUAAAAAAAAAAAAUCCUAAAAGGUGAUUUAUGUUGUUAUAAGACUAUUUUAACCCUUUUAGUAAGUUAUGAAGUCAAAAUUAACGUCUGAAUUAGACAGAAUUUCAGCAAUUGGACAUGAUUUAUAAAAAUUAAAAAUUUUAAGAGGUAAAUUUUUAAAAUUAAAAAUAUGAGAUGUGAAAUGAUGUUAACCCUAAACUCAGAAGUGUAAACUGAAAUUAAUC